rnacentral:lncRNA from 1 species
CGACCAGCAAGGGCCCUGGAGCAGUGCGGAGGAAACGGCCUCUGUCAUGCGGACUCCGGGCUGAGCUUGCUCUUUCUGGUUCCUGACCUUGUGGACUGUGAGGACCCCGGGAGCCUUCGGAAAGGUCACGUGGAUCCCCUCGUCUUUCUGCUCUCAAGGCCUGACUUUCCUUGGUGUCUGCUGAAUCCUACUAGUGUCUGUCUUGAGCGCCUACAGCGUGCCAGGCACCCGACGAGCACUGCCGCAUUUAACCCUGAACAAUCCCAUGAGGCCGUUGCUAGGGCAGAUGAGGAAACCGCGGAGGACAGGGCCAUCUCUUGCCCAGAGGCACACAGCUAGAGCGACAGGCUCAGAGCCAGACAUCAGCCACCAUGGGCCACCUCUGCCCCCGCUGCCGGUGGCGACCUGGCUCAGACUCCUCCGAGGGCUUCUCUCCUGCCGCCCGCUGCGACCCUGGGCAAAGCACAGAGGGUUCCAUUUUCACAGAAGUCCCCAGUGUGGCGGCUUCUUUUUGGGACCUGCUGACUGGGCUCCUAAUGUGCUCAGAGGCCCUUUCCAGGUCCCUCCUCCCGCUUCCAAACCCAAGGAGCUGUUCAAGUGUUCGUCUUCCUCCCGCCGCGGGUGCAUACUGCCAGAAAAGGCGAGAAGGAAAACUGACAUUUGAAGGAUGAGAAAUCCAUUCUGGUAGGCUGAAACAGGAAGAUCUCAAGUUUGAGCCCAACCUGGACAACACUGGAAUUUAGUAAGAUCCUGUUUCAAAAUUUUUUUAAAAAAAUGUUUAAAAGUCUGGGCAUAUAGCCCAGUGUGAAGGCCGUGGGUUCCAUCCCCAGUACAACAACUAAAUAAAUAAGUAAAUGAAAUUAAAAUAAAAGGGAU